rnacentral:rRNA from 1 species
GGGGGAUAUUGCGCAAUGGGGGCAACCCUGACGCAGCAACGCCGCGUGAAGGAUGAAGGUUUUCGGAUUGUAAACUUCUUUUAUUAAGGACGAAAAAUGACGGUACUUAAUGAAUAAGCUCCGGCUAACUACGUGCCAGCAGCCGCGGUAAUACGUAGGGAGCAAGCGUUGUCCGGAUUUACUGGGUGUAAAGGGUGCGUAGGCGGCUUUGCAAGUCAGAUGUGAAAUCUAUGGGCUCAACCCAUAAACUGCAUUUGAAACUGUAGAGCUUGAGUGAAGUAGAGGCAGGCGGAAUUCCCCGUGUAGCGGUGAAAUGCGUAGAGAUGGGGAGGAACACCAGUGGCGAAGGCGGCCUGCUGGGCUUUAACUGACGCUGAGGCACGAAAGCGUGGGUAGCAAACAGGAUUAGAUACCCUGGUAGUCCACGCUGUAAACGAUGAUUACUAGGUGUGGGGGGUCUGACCCCUUCCGUGCCGGAGUUAACACAAUAAGUAAUCCACCUGGGGAGUACGGCCGCAAGGUUGAAACUCAAAGGAAUUGACGGGGGCCCGCACAAGCAGUGGAGUAUGUGGUUUAAUUCGAAGCAACGCGAAGAACCUUACCAGGUCUUGACAUCCAACUAACGAAGUAGAGAUACAUUAGGUGCCCUUCGGGGAAAGUUGAGACAGGUGGUGCAUGGUUGUCGUCAGCUCGUGUCGUGAGAUGUUGGGUUAAGUCCCGCAACGAGCGCAACCCUUGCUAUUAGUUGCUACGCAAGAGCACUCUAAUAGGACUGCCGUUGACAAAACGGAGGAAGGUGGGGACGACGUCAAAUCAUCAUGCCCCUUAUGACCUGGGCUACACACGUACUACAAUGGAUGUUAACAGAGGGAAGCAAGACAGCGAUGUGGAGCAAACCCCUAAAAACAUUCUCAGUUCAGAUUGCAGGCUGCAACCCGCCUGCAUGAAGAUGGAAUUGCUAGUAAUCGCGGAUCAGCAUGCCGCGGUGAAUACGUUUCCG